GACGAACGCUGGCGGCGUGCCUAAUACAUGCAAGUUGAGCGAUGAAGAUUGGUGCUUGCCCCAAUUUGAAGAGCAGCGAACGGGUGAGUAACGCGUGGGGAAUCUGCCUUUGAGCGGGGGACAACAUUUGGAAACGAAUGCUAAUACCGCAUAACAACUUUAAACAUAAGUUUUAAGUUUGAAAGAUGCAAUUGCAUCACUCAAAGAUGAUCCCGCGUUGUAUUAGCUAGUUGGUGAGGUAAAGGCUCACCAAGGCGAUGAUACAUAGCCGACCUGAGAGGGUGAUCGGCCACAUUGGGACUGAGACACGGCCCAAACUCCUACGGGAGGCAGCAGUAGGGAAUCUUCGGCAAUGGACGAAAGUCUGACCGAGCAACGCCGCGUGAGUGAAGAAGGUUUUCGGAUCGUAAAACUCUGUUGGUAGAGAAGAACGUUGGUGAGAGUGGAAAGCUCAUCAAGUGACGGUAACUACCCAGAAAGGGACGGCUAACUACGUG
rnacentral:rRNA from 1 species